rnacentral:rRNA from 1 species
UACGUAGGGUGCAAGCGUUAUCCGGAAUUAUUGGGCGUAAAGAGCUCGUAGGCGGUUUGUCGCGUCUGCUGUGAAAACUGGAGGCUCAACCUCCAGCCUGCAGUGGGUACGGGCAGACUAGAGUGCGGUAGGGGAGAUUGGAAUUCCACGGUGUAGCAGUGAAAUGCGUAGAUAUGUGGAGGAACACCGAUGGCGAAGGCAGCCCCUGGAUGACACUGACGCUCGAUGCAGAAGACGUGGGGAGCAAACAGGAUUAGAACUACCCGACG